UCCUGCAUGGCUCAGAGGGUAAAGCGUCUGCCUGCAGUGCAGGAGACCUGGGUUCGAUCCCUGGGUCAGGAA
rnacentral:tRNA from 1 species